ensembl:lincRNA Gm12159 predicted gene 12159
ACUUCCUGCCAAGGCCAGUGAGGGAGACACCCCUGCCAUUUACAGCCUGGUGUUUGAUAAUUGAAGUCUCACUGUACCCUGGUUGCUGUCCUCAGAGAUAACCAUGAGUUGAGUAAUUAACGCUGAACAAGAAUCUUUGAACCUGGCCAUGUUGUGUGUUCUCCAAUCAACAAAGCCGCACAGAAAGCCACCAAGCAUGAGGAAGACCGCGAAUGGAGCCUUCUGGGAGAUCCAACCUCUAUCAAACACAUAAGAGAAUAAUGUGGCAUAUAGUUUCCAAGGUUUUAUAACUAUGAAAAUUGAGGAAGAUUGAUGAUGCUUGUCCUGCCAGAGGACAGACUCUCUGUUGUUGCUUGAGUUGUAAUCCCCUGCCCCGCCCCCCUGCCCCAACUUCAAAACAAAAGUCCAAGACUAAUUAAAAUCAGAACCCCGUGUCCCGUUAGUGCUCUGCUGGCAGACCUUGGCUUUGGCAUUGUCUUUCUGACCAGAUUACUGAUCAGUGUUUAUUGCUAAUCAUCUGUGGCUGGAAACAUGACCCAGGGAGCAGAGAGACCAGGGCAACGGCAUGCAGUGUCAUUGUUAGACUUACUCACAGUGUUUGCAGCAGGAAUCAGUCAACCUUAAUCCACAACCACAAAGGCCGUCUGAGCAGGCCAAGUCCCUUGAGUUGGCAGUCAGGCAAAGCUGCCUCCUUUCAGCUCUUGGCAGGACUCCCCACUAAUGUCUGAAGCCCGUCCUGCCUGGAGAAGUGGGACAGGCUGAGCAAAUGAGCGUUUGCCAUAUCGUACAGCAAAAAUUCUCAUGUCCUGUGUUUUCUCAAUUCCUCACGGAAAAUGAAGAGUCUUGUUGUGUGAGGAUGUGGCACGCGGUGGAACACGGUCUCCUGCGCAUCAGAGCCUUUAUUACCUCCGUCUAAGCAGCUGGGACCACUGGCAAGUGAUGCUCCGGAUUGGGUCCAUCAACGUCCCUUGUAGAGGGAGGAGAAGUCGAGAAGGUUCAUUAAUCCUUCAUCCAAGAUCCCACCUCCUCCUCCUUCCUACACCUCCCUACCAUCUAUAAGCACUUUGUCCCCAGUUUCACAUGGGCUGAGGGUGGGGUCGGUGUCAAGAGUAUAUAGAGGGAAAAGGACACUGGAAGGCACCAUCUUUGCCCCAUGGAGAACCCGGCACCUGUGCUUUGGUGGGAUUUUCUGCAAUGUAGCUCUUUAAAGGUCAAAUGGAAAAUAAUUGUUAAAAAUCAGUCUCUCAUCAUCUUCAACCCCAAAAUGACCAUUUGGGCCACUUUACUAUAGAUUAUGAGAUUUUAAAAUCACGAAAAAAUAAAUAAUAUCUUUGUAGUUUAGAUGAAUUUAGGUGCCUGAAGUAAGAACAGCACUGUGAGGUUAUAUGGGAGAACUCUGUAGAAAAUGGUUAUGUCUGCCUGCAAUAAAAUUUCCUAAAUUAACAUAG